GAAACUUAGGAUUACCAAAACCGAAG
rnacentral:tRNA from 1 species